UACGAAGGGGGCUAGCGUUGCUCGGAAUCACUGGGCGUAAAGGGUGCGUAGGCGGGUCUUUAAGUCAGGGGUGAAAUCCUGGAGCUCAACUCCAGAACUGCCCUUGAUACUGAGGAUCGUUGAGUUCGGGAGAGGUGAGUGGAACUGCGAGUGUAGAGGUGAAAUUCGUAGAUAUUCGCAAGAACACCAGUGGCGAAGGCGGCUCACUGGCCCGAUACUGACGCUGAGGCACGGAAAGCGAUGGGGAGCCAAACAGGGGUUAGAAAACCC
rnacentral:rRNA from 1 species